rnacentral:rRNA from 1 species
UACGGGGGGGGCAAGCGUUGUUCGGAAUUACUGGGCGUAAAGGGCUCGUAGGCGGCCAACUAAGUCCGACGUGAAAUCCCCAGGCUUAACCUGGGAACUGCGUCGGAUACUGGAUGGCUUGAAUUCGGGAGAGGGAUGCAGAAUUCCAGGUGUAGCGGUGAAAUGCGUAGAUAUCUGGAGGAACACCGGUGGCGAAGGCGGUUCUCUGGGCAUGUCCUGACGCUGAGGAGCGAAAGUGUGGGGAGCGAACAGG